AAUUUCUAUUGGCUACCAACCCAUGAAGAUAUUGUAAAUAGUGUCCAUAAAAUGUACGCGAAGGAUGGGAUAUCUAGGGAUGAAGUUGUGAGCAUUGUAAACACAUUUCCUAAUCAAGGUAUCUACCCUAUGGGACUU